rnacentral:misc_RNA from 1 species
CCGAGUGUGACCCCCCCGUAAAAAAGGGGGGUGCCUCCCGUCCUUUGAUGGCCCUUAGGGGCUCUUCAGACUUUGCUUCGGCGUAGGCGCCACGCCGGAACACCCUCAAGAAAAUCUCGAAAAAAACCGUUCAGUCCGAGAAAGGUUGGCUAAAUAAACAA